rnacentral:rRNA from 1 species
CCUACGGGGGGCAGCAGUGAGGAAUAUUGGUCAAUGGACGAGAGUCUGAACCAGCCAAGUAGCGUGAAGGAUGAAUGCCCUAUGGGUUGUAAACUUCUUUUAUAUGGGAAUAAAAUGUUCCACGUGUGGGAUUUUGUAUGUACCAUAUGAAUAAGGAUCGGCUAACUCCGUGCCAGCAGCCGCGGUAAUACGGAGGAUCCGAGCGUUAUCCGGUUUGAUUGGGUUUAAAGGGAGCGUAGGUGGAUUGGUAAGUCAGUUGUGAAAGUUUGCGGCUCAACCGUAAAAUUGCAGUUGAAACUGGCAGUCUUGAGUACAGUAGAGGUGGGCGGAAUUCGUGGUGUAGCGGUGAAAUGCUUAGAUAGCACGAAGAACACCGAUUGCGAAGGCAGCUCACUGGACUGCAACUGACACUGAGGCUCGAAAGUGUGGGUAUCAAACAGGAUUAGAUACCCUGGUAGUC